UACCCAGCAAUGGGAUGCGAAUCUCGAAAGCCUGUCUCAGUUCGGAUUGGAGGCUGAAACCCGCCUCCAUGAAGUUGGAUUCGCUAGUAAUCGCGCAUCAGCCAUGGCGCGGUGAAUACGUUCCCGGGCCUUGUACACACCGCCCGUCAAGCCAUGGGAGCCGGGGGUGCCUGAAGUUCGUGACCGCAAGGAGCGACCUAGGGCAAAACUGGUGACUGGGGCUAAGUCGUAACAAGGUAUC
rnacentral:rRNA from 1 species